AAUAGAUACCCCGGUAGUCCACGCCGUAAACGAUGAGUGCUAGGUGUUGGCUGAGAAGUCAGUGCCGAAGUAAACGCAAUAAGCACUCCGCCUGGGGAGUACGGUCGCAAGACUGAAACUCAAAGGAAUUGACGGGGACCCGCACAAGCAGCGGAGCAUGUGGUUUAAUUCGACGCAACGCGAAGAACCUUACCAAGGCUUGACAUCCCCUUGACAAGUGCAGAGAUGUACUCUCUCCUUCAGGAGCAAGGGAGACAGGUGGUGCAUGGUUGUCGUCAGCUCGUGUCGUGAGAUGUUGGGUUAAGUCCCGCAACGAGCGCAACCCUUGUCAUUAGUUGCCAUCAUUAAGUUGGGCACUCUAAAUGAGACUGCCGGUGAUAAACCGGAGGAAGGUGGGGAUGACGUCAAAUCAUCAUGCCCCUUAUGUCUUGGGCUACACACGUGCUACAAUGGUCGGAACAAAGGGAAGCGAAGGAGCGAUCCGGAGCAAAACCUCAUAAACCGAUCCCAGUUCGGAUUGCG
rnacentral:rRNA from 1 species